rnacentral:tRNA from 1 species
AGGGGAUUCGCCAAGUCGGUAAGGCAUAGCACUUUGACUGCUAUAUGCGUAGGUUCGAGUCCUGCAUCCCCUGCCA